AUGCCAUUAAGUGUAUUAUUGGUUUAAUAUUACAGAAGAUUCUCUCUCUCUCUUUCACUCUCCCUAAUGUAUUACAGAGAAAGAGUCAGUGCGGAAGUGGAACUAAGGAAGAACGUAAAGAGAUGCAGCUGGAGCAGUAAACAGGGUCCAGAUCACAAAGGCCUCAUAAAACCAGCCUCCAGAUUCUCCUCUUUUCAGUCCUGAAAGUUGUCAUCAAGUUAUUCCUGAAGUUUGCUUUGGUCAUGUCAUCUUCCUGCUAAAAGCUGAUACAGCUGUCUAUUUGAAGUGGCGAGGAUGCUUGAAUUUUGGUGGAAGGGAAUGCCACAGAACAUAAUUUGUUGCUUUCUGACCAAUAAAA
rnacentral:lncRNA from 1 species